GAUCCUUUCUUGGACUGAUAGUUGAGGCUUAACUGAACGCAGGGCCAGCGAGAAGCGAGAAAUAAGCAGCUGUGGAUUUAAGACCACUUUACCUGGAUUCAGUGGUGCAGGAUGGCGGGAUUAGCUGCUUGGGUCUGGCAGCAUACUAGUCUGUUUAGCUUAAGAUGAGGAGAUGAGAACUGGACAGACUAAAGGACUAAAGCACUGCUCUCUUCACCCCCCACCCCCAGAGAUGACGCGAGGGUUACAUCCCACUGCAUCACUAUGAUCAGACGGAUGAAGACGGAGACAGGGGAUACAAAACGUCCAUUGUAAUGGUCUUUGGCUGGAUGUGUGAUCUCCCCACCUCUUGAUAAAAUGGAAGAAAGUGAGGUCCAAGUUUACUCGGUCUCCCAUCACAGGCGCCGUGAGACAGACUCCACAUCAAAGUCGGUGUGGGGAAAAAAAAAAACCCACAACCAACACUCCCUGGCCGACCUGUUACAACACACACCUUAGAAGAAAAAGCAAAUUGAUUACUCCUUAACCUACAACACUAACCAAGCCUGCAGGGAGACGUUUCUCUUAGCUGUGUCUGCCUCAGCGCCUUUGCCACCCAAGGCUUGGAGACGGUUUUAAUUGCAACACGACGACCACAAGAAAAGCCCAGAAUCCCCAUAAAAGCACAGCAAAGCUGGCUGCAGGCCCAUGGAGGAGAGCAAGCCACACCGUAAUUACAGUCAGAACUUCAUCCUAAUCAGGGUUACAGUGGAUCUUCAGCCUCUCCAAGGAAUACCGCCCAUGAGGCUGGAAUACACGUAGGAUGAAACGCCAAUCCAUCACAGGGUAUCAUGCCCUCAAACAUUCACACACUCCUACACACCAAGCAGCAAUGUAGAGCAUCCAGUCUACCUGCCAUAUUCUUUGAAGAUGGAAGGAAACCGGAGAACCUGAAAGAAGCCCACGGAGAACCAUGCGACACCCCACACAGAUGGUAACCUGAGCUCAGGAUUCAACCAGGAACCCCUGGAGCUAAGCAACCUUGAGCUGUUGAUGGAGAUGACAGAACAUACCUCUGCUUCUCAGUGACCUUGCUGAGAUGUAAACACUCCAGCUGGCUUGCAGUGACGACUCUUGGAUACAUUAUCUGACAUCUUCAUUUGUCUUAUCCAUCUUCCUUCCACGAUGAUGGUGACAAAGCAUUCAAAAGAUCCUCAUAGCUUGCUUGUUAUCUGAUCCCAUCAGUUACUGUCGAUGCUUCUGUCCAGCUGAUCUUAUGUCUCUCUUUGUCAUCUUUGGAGAUCAGGUGUCACAUCUGCAAUUGAGGGGGCAUUAAAGCACACAACCCUUCUCAACUCACUCCAUAGAGACCAGUUGAGAUGUUUAUUAGGUCAUAUGUUCACUCUUUCGAGUGACUGGUAAUAACACCUUAUUUGACAAGGUUGAAAGAGCAUUUAUCAUUCUGUGGGUGUGGUUUAAAAAUACUGUCCAAGAUCAUCAAUGGUGCUUAUUACACUAAAGCUUGAGUUUGAUUCCAUAGUUCCGCAUCCUUUCAUAUUCCAUUUGCUCUUUUGCUGACACUUUUAUCCAAAGUGGAUAGAAUACACCUGAGGUUUAUUAAGUACCCCAAAGUACAGUACUGGGAUUUGAACUCACAACUCACCAAUCAGUUCCAAUACAUUAACCACCGAGCCACUAAUCCCCCACAAACUCAGGGUGAUUAUAGUGCAACCAGGAAUGUUAGACCUAAAGUGAGCCCUUUCAUCAGUCAGAACCAAAAUUCAAAACUCUGAUGCAGGCACUAUACAAAGAAUACCUAAGACAUGCUUUAAAAAAAAAAAAAAGGUUCCUCAAGGGCCCUUUGCAUCUUGUGUUUUUUACUUGGAAACCUUUCAUUGAGAGGGAUACAACUUUUAGGGUAUGUAGAACUUUUAAAGAACAAACAGAAGAACCUUUUAGGAUUUCCACUCCAUGGGCGCAUGUUUACAAUACGCAGUUUACUACUACCAUUUGACGAUAAAUUUAAAGGUAACAAAUGUUUA